AAAUGAUGAUGAGGUAUUAUAAGGUUCUAACGACAUGCUUGUUCAUCUGAUUUUUGCUCAUAACAUCUAGAAUGAGCAUGAGCUAUGUCAGGUCCUUCCUCUUUGGUCAUUUUUCCGUAAAUCUCUGUUCUUAUUUUUGCAGUUAAAUAUCCAUCUUGAGCUUAGAUAAACGAACGAUACCAUUGAAAAAACCCCAUAUCUGCUGCAGCCGAAGCACAUCGGUUGAACACCUCUGUGAAGUCAGAAUUCCUUUCAUGUCAUACAGAAAAAAAAUUUCAUUCCACUAUCCUUGUCAAAAGUAGAAAUGAAACAUAUUUAUAUGGAGGCCUUAGUGACCUAAAACAUGGAACUCUCUGUAUUAGACACAGGACAAAUUCAAAACUUUCUGUGCUGCACAAUCUUAUUCCUGAUGCAAGGAUAGACACUUAUAUCUUCUGAUUCAGCUUUAAUGUCUCGAUCUGAUGAUACAUGUUUGUUUUUUUAAUGGUUAUGCCUCUAAAUAUCUUCAGAUAGGAUUUGCUUCCAUAGUUUCUGCAGGCUGUUCAUUUUUCCAUUUUCCCUCAAUGACCAUUUUUGUAAUGAUAUUCUGAGUGCAGCUUGUUGUUCAGUAGACAAAAUCAUAAGCCAAAGAUGUUGAAUGAGUGGCAGCAAAGGACAACAGUGUUGUUGACAAUCCACUGUUAACCAUUCAACUGAAUGGAUGCAUCAAAUACGCUAGCCCGGGUUAUCAGUGGGUCCAAGGUUACUCUGCAAACCUUGCAAAUGCGAGAAAUUUUUAAAGGAAUCAAUUCUAGUGCCCAUUACAUAAAAAUCUGGUGGGUUGGAAAUAAAAUGAGGAAUCUAGUUCUGUUCCUUUUACAACAACAACAACAACAACAACAACAACAUACCCGGUAUAUUCCCACAUGUGGGGUCUGGGUUGUGUAGUAUGUACGCAGACCUUACCCUUAUCUUGUGUAGGUAGAGAGGCUGUUUCCAAGAGACCCUCGGCUUUGGCCAAGUUCUAUUCUAUUAUCUCAUAAAAUUUAUGUUUGUUGAUGUUUCCAUUAAGUCCCAUUUUUUCUUUGUUGUUUCAGAUUCUUGUUUACGUGCAAAAGAAUUCUGAAGUAUGAUGAUUAUAUAGUUGUUAUGUGAGUUUCUUGAUUCUGGUUUGUAGAAGGAUGAGGGCAGGGGAGAAAAGAAGAUAGGGGGUGUAUGUUCAUUGGAGAACAUGUGGAACCAAUCUUUAGGAAUUGUUUUAGUUUUCUCUGAUUAGCAGUAGACCGCUACUUUCCAGUUCUGCAGAUAUCUAUCCUUCCUUGUAUAAAUAAUUUAGUGUUUUUUUUUUCUUUUUCAUUUUAUACUAGUUUUUGGUUUGCUUACUUACAAGCAUUGAGAUUUGUUUGAUCUCCUUAGAGCUACGGUAAUUUAUUCAAGGAGAUUCUGAAUUGAUAUAUCUUCAUGAGCACCAAGUCACAGAAACAGACACUAGAUUUGUCCUUCUUCCAACUCUUCCCAUUUUGUAAUAUUUUGUUUUUACAACUCUCCCUCUUCUUUUCUAUUCAAUAUAAUAAGCAAAAAGAAAGAAAAAGGAAAGAAAAGUAUACUUUGUUGAUUUGUUCCCUUCCAAUUUGUUUUAUAUGUUUACUAUACAGUGAAAAUUUCUGUCUUGAUCCCGGAAGUAUAUAUUUUGGUUAUAACAAAAUUGAUGGUUGUUUUGGGAAGAGAAUAAAGGAUGUGGUCGCGUGGCUUGCUUGUUGAGUGAUUGCAUCUAUUCUUCAAGCAAGACCGAAAGCAUUAUGUUGUUGUAUUAGGAGAUAUCUAGUAUCUUGAGGUUUUCAUUCAAUUGGGCAUCAGCUCAGGUUCUGAAGAGUAACGAGUAGUGCAUCUAGCUUUUUAUGGAUAUUUCGAAAUACCAGUCUUCUUAUCUUAAUUUGGCAAAUACGUGAUGGAUCAUAGACUCUUUGUUUGAUCAAUUAUGUGCAGGUAUCUCCAGUUUUAGACUUGCUGGACCACCACUUGAAAAUGUUAUGCUUACAAAUCUUAAGUUGAGUUGUUCAUAUCAUUACCAAGAAUACCUACCUGAAAGCUCUGUAUUGGUGAAAUUAACCAACAACAAAUACCAAAAAGUACUU
rnacentral:lncRNA from 1 species